GACGAACGCUGGCGGCGUGCCUAAUACAUGCAAGUAGAACGCUGAAGAGAGGAGCUUACUCUUCUUGGAUGAGUUGCGAACGGGUGAGUAACGCGUAGGUAACCUGCCUUGUAGCGGGGGAUAACUAUUGGAAACGAUAGCUAAUACCGCAUAACAAUGGAUGACACAUGUCAUUUAUUUGAAAGGGGCAAUUGCUCCACUACAAGAUGGACCUGCGUUGUAUUAGCUAGUAGGUGAGGUAAUGGCUCACCUAGGCGACGAUACAUAGCCGACCUGAGAGGGUGAUCGGCCACACUGGGACUGAGACACGGCCCAGACUCCUACGGGAGGCAGCAGUAGGGAAUCUUCGGCAAUAGGGGCAACCCUGACCGAGCAACGCCGCGUGAGUGAAGAAGGUUUUCGGAUCGUAAAGCUCUGUUGUAAGUCAAGAACGGGUGUGAGAGUGGAAAGUUCACACUGUGACGGUAGCUUACCAGAAGGGGACGGCUAACUACGUG
rnacentral:rRNA from 1 species